rnacentral:rRNA from 1 species
AACGAACGCUGGCGGCAGGCCUCAAACAUGCAAGUCUAGGGGGUGUAGCAAUACAUCACCGGCGGACGGGUGCGUAACACGUGGGAAUAUACCUUUUUGGUUCGGAACAACGCAGGGAAACUUGCGCUAAUACCGAAUGUGCCCUUACGGGGAAAGAUUUAUCGCCAAAGGAUUAGCCCGCGUAGGAUUAGCUAGUUGGUGAGGUAAUGGCUCACCAAGGCUCCGAUCCUUAGCUGUUCUGAGAGGAAGAUCAGCCACACUGGGACUGAGACACGGCCCAGACUCCUACGGGAGGCAGCAGUUGGGAAUCUUGGACAAUGGGGGAAACCCUGAUCCAGCCAUGCCGCGUGAGUGAUGAAGGCCUUCGGGUUGUAAAACUCUUUCGACGGGGACGAUAAUGACGGUACCCGUAGAAGAAGCUCCGGCUAACUUCGUGCCAGCAGCCGCGGUAAU